GAGGGUAUAGCUCAGCAGUAGAGCACAUGCUUAGCAUGCACGAGGUCCUGAGUUCAAUCCCCAGUACUUCCA
rnacentral:tRNA from 1 species